rnacentral:tRNA from 1 species
GGGCCGUUAGCUCAGUUGGUAGAGCAGCUGACUCUUAAUCAGUAGGUCCGGGGUUCGAGUCCCUGACGGCCCACCA